ACCAAUAGACACUUCUUUCGGAAC
rnacentral:snRNA from 1 species